rnacentral:rRNA from 1 species
UACAGGGGGGGCAAGCGUUGUUCGGAAUUACUGGGCGUAAAGGGCUCGUAGGCGGCCAACUAAGUCGGACGUGAAAUCCCUCAGCUUAACUGGGGAACUGCGUCCGAUACUGGAUGGCUUGAGUUUGGGAGAGGGAUGCGGAAUUCCAGGUGUAGCGGUGAAAUGCGUAGAUAUCUGGAGGAACACCGGUGGCGAAGGCGGCAUCCUGGACCAACACUGACACUGAGGUGCGAAAGCCUGGGGAGCAAACGGG